rnacentral:lncRNA from 1 species
CUGUUUUUAACCCAGUUAUUUCUUGCAGCCAAAUCCUUAUUUUGUUCCCAAAUUUAUUUGCUUUAGAGCACAACCACCACAUAUGAAAGAAGGUGUCUUUUUACAUUUUGGAUUCAAAUUUGAGUAGAUUUUGGCCAGUCUCGCUGGGAGAAGCACCAGCAGUCUCAUUCCUUUCUCUCUCCCUCUCCCUCUCUCUCUCUUGUGAAGGUCAGUCCUCCAGCCUCUCUUUCAGGAGGAAGCCCUGAGCCCGAAAGACAGGGCACCUGAGGUAAUCCGCUCUGGAGCUCCCUUGGGUGCUGAUCUACCUGUUUCUGGGGACCAGCACGAAGAGCCUGAUGCCGAGGUGGCCCACCUGGAGGAGAACUUCUCUCAGAACGGGUCGCUGCCCCAGACACCGGAGCCAGAGAGAUACCUCAAGAACCACUUUGAAACGCUGGCUGGCGACCCCCUUGGAGAAACGUUUGACGGUUGCAUCAGAGACCAGCAGUCAUUUGGAGAGAGUGAGGAUGGAGGGAGCCCGCUUCUGAAUCCCCGCCUGAGCAUCUCCGCCAGGUUUCUCUCGCGCGCCCAGAAGAACUGCAGAUUUGCGGCGGCGUUUUUCCCAAGAGUCUGCCCGCUGGUGCAGGCAGCCACUGCUGAACACCCAUCAGAGGAGUGCGUACCACUCAGCGAUUUCACGAAAUUCAAGGCAAGUUAUUGUGGUGCAAAUCUUUUAACAGCCACCCACAAAAAUCGCUGUGCAGC